AUUAUGUGUUAGUGUUAUACACAGUUAUUUAUCAUUUUCUAUUAAUUCAGUUGUAGCCACUACAAUAUCUAUGACACUGGUAGUAAUUAUAAGAACAAUAAUGAUGUUCUAUAAGAGGAAAUGAUGAUUAGGAACAAAAACUUACAGAAGAUAUCAUGCGGUGGAUGGAUAAUAUGCAAAAAAUAUUAAGCAGUAUAUGAAUUUUCCUAUUGCGUAGAGAUAACAAAAUGAAUUUUAAAAAAUGUCGACACGGUAAUAAGAAAUAGCAUCAUGACAAAGAAUAUAUAAAGACAGUUUCAUUUUUUAUAAAUAAAAAUUUGUUGUUCCAGAUUUUGAAAUACAGUGAAACGUUUAAUUAGUAUCUUAAUAUCUUUAAAUAAUUAUUAUUUUAGAAUCAAUUGUAAUUGUAUCAUACGUACUUUUGAAUUCGUGCAAGAACAUAUGUAAUUUUGAAGUAGUUAUUAUUAGGAAACUGUUAGACGCGAACAGUAUGCGAAAAGUUAGUAUGCAGUGUAAUAAUUAUCAAUCAAAACACAAGAAUUAAAUUCUUGAGGAAAAAAUUUCCGGAAUUUCUUAUUUACAUGAUUAUAAAGAAAUCCAUAAUAAAAAGGAGCUGCUUUCUAAUACUUCUCUUCCUUGUAAUGCCUACGUUAACAAUAACGAGGUUCGACUUUUUGUUUUUAGAGGGAUACUGGAAAAUUUGAAAGUACAGUACCAUUGGGAAGAAAAUCACGAUAUUGAAAACGAUAUUUGCAAGUAAAUUUCCAAAAAAUCUGUUUUCAAAUUUUCGCUUUCUAUUUCACAUUAAAAGAAAGGGAGGGCUGCCUUCUUUUUCUGCAAGACAAAACAAACAUUCUGAAUCUCGUAUCAAUGAAUGAUGUCAAUAAGUUAUUUUUCUUUUCAGAUUGAACAAUAUUCCAGAUUUAUUCAUAAUUUCAUACUACGCGAAGAAUAGACUUUCAUAGGUAUAUAAAGGAAAUAUUAAGUAUAGGAAAACUCUUUUUCGUUGUAGGUGACAUAUGCUUCACGGUUGAACACAUGUAUUUUUGAACACAUAUAAAUGAAAAAGUACUCUUAUGGAGAAAAAGAAUUGAUACCUUCGAUUGACAUUAGAUAAUGUAUAUAAACUUAUGAACAAUCACUAUCAGUUUGUAUUUUAGGUGCACACGCAGAUUUGUUGGAGUUCUUAUAAAAUGUACUUCCUGUACGAACGUUUUAUUCUUCCAAAUUUUACGAUACUAUGUCUCAUAUGAUAACUAUAUGGAUUAAACGUAAUAUAAAUGAUCCGAAAAUAGACUCGAACGACAUUAAUUGUCUUUCUAUUUAUA